UCAGUCUGAGUAGAUUACAAGCUAACAAACUUCUAAAGAACCAAGCAUUCGGGUUAUCCUACUUUCUCCUUCUUAAUAAUGUUCUGAAGAUAUGUUCGCUGAGUGAUGAGCAAAUCCUUUUUUGUUGUGACUAUUACUCUGGAAGAGAAAAAUUAUUCAGGUUGGAGCCGAACACUGAUAGAUUGAUGGGUGAGUAAAGGGGAAGAUGGAAGAGAGCGGGACAUGCCCUCCAUAAUCCGAAUGUGCUGCAUACCUUCAGUCACUGGAAGUGGUGGGAUGGCAUA